CUUGUGCAGGGGCAGGUGGAGAGAAAGGAUAUGAGUGAGCUUGGGGGAGCCCAAUAACACAGUGCUUUAGCUGUCUGUCUUCAGACAUUUGUUCUCUGAGGAACACUCCUUCCCUACACUGUCUGUAGUGCUGGAGGACUCUGGGAUAAGGCAGAAGAAAGCUCCAAGGUGUCCUCAACCCAUUGCAAUGGAAGUUCCAUCCAUGGUGAUGUGAAGCCCCCUCAGGAAGUGAGCAUGUGGGAAGAAGGCUGGAGCAGACCAAACUGGGGCUGCGUUCCUUUGGCUACUCCUCCUCUUGCAGAGCAGGUGUCAGCAGAGCACAAGAACCAAGAGAGUUAGAAGUGGCUGCCCCUGGACAAUGUCUACAAUAUCCACAGCCAGGAGAGGGGAAGAAGGUUAAUUCUGUGCCUGGAGGUGCUACCUCAUUCCAGGAGAACCUUGUAUUUGUGGCAUGCUCUGAGACCUCCUGAAGACAGCAGGGUACAGCCCUUGCCCCCUCCUCUACCUCCACAGCUAUAAGAGGAGAACCUGGACUCACUUCCACGCUGGAGUCUGUAAGCAGUGAUGCGGCUGCGGCGAAGGCAGCAAAUCCUCCGGCUGUGCGUGCCCUCCCUGGACUGCUGCUCCAUCCCCGCCUGCCGUGGCCGCGCGUGUGCAUGGCUGGGAGCGCUGCCUAGGUGCGGCCGGGAAUGAGACAGCUGCGGGGCGAGCAUCGCUCCAGCUCCAAGGGCUGACACGAGUGGGGGAUAGCCACACACACCCCCCACCGCCCCCCGAACACAUCUGCAGGGCUGCAAGUUGCUUGAGGACCGGGGUAUUUUGUGCCUCCACUUCGUCUCUGUCAUGCCCCGUAUGGAAGCUGGGAGCAGUCACCCCUCCAGAAGCAGAAGGCGAAGUCAUUCGCAAUGAAUCCAUGGCAGCUUCGAUCGAGCGGUGAGCUGGAGCACCCACUCCCAGGCCACUCCUUCACGUGACUGAACAGAGACCUUUGCCAGCACUCGCCAAGGAGAGCAGAGCCCUGGAUUUCCCUCCCGCGCACCCGGCACCCCCAGCGCAGGCACUGCGAGGUAAGCCAAGCCCGGCACCUCUGUCUGUGCCUCUCUCCAUCCCGCCCUCCCUCCCUCGCCUG
rnacentral:lncRNA from 1 species